rnacentral:rRNA from 1 species
CAAUAGCGUAUAUUUAAGUUGCUGCAGUUAAAAAGCUCGUAGUUGGAUUUCGGGUGGGAAUGGCCGGUCCGCCGUUUCGGUGUGCACUUGCUACGCCCACCUUGCUGCCGGGGACGUGCUCUUGAGUUCACGCUCGGGACACGGAGUCGGCGAGGUUACUUUGAGUAAAUUAGAGUGUUCAAAGCAGGCCUACGCUCUGAAUACAUUAGCAUGGAAUAACACGAUAGGACUCUGGCCUAUCUUGUUGGUCUGUAGGACCGGAGUAAUGAUUAAGAGGGACAGUCGGGGGCAUUCGUAUUUCAUUGUCAGAGGUGAAAUUCUUGGAUUUAUGAAAGACGAACUACUGCGAAAGCAUCUGCCAUGGAUGUUUUCAUUGA